rnacentral:sRNA from 1 species
AGACCGAUCUGGAAGUAACUUAAGAUGCAGAAGGAAGAGUGGAAAAGAGAAAGAGACCUCAAGGGUGAAAGCGAAUCGGGGAGAAUAAGUUAACGACAAAGGAGAACCGAUUCCCACCAAGUCCGAAAAGAGAUGUCGGGCAAGGAGCUGAAGAAAAAAUCUCGCUUCAGACGCCCCAAGGACUCGACUAA